rnacentral:rRNA from 1 species
UACGUAGGGGGCUAGCGUUGUCCGGAAUCAUUGGGCGUAAAGAGCGUGUAGGCGGUCCGGUAAGUCCGCUGUGAAAGUCGGGGGCUCAACCCUCGAAUGCCGGUGGAUACUGUCGGGCUAGAGUGCGGAAGAGGCGAGUGGAAUUCCUGGUGUAGCGGUGAAAUGCGCAGAUAUCAGGAGGAACACGUAUUGCGAAGGCCGCUCGCUGGGACGUAACUGACGCUGAGACGCGAAAGCGUGGGGAGCAAACAGG